UACGAAGGGUGCAAGCGUUACUCGGAAUUACUGGGCGUAAAGCGUGCGUAGGCGGUUUGUUAAGUCCGUUGUGAAAGCCCUGGGCUCAACCUGGGAAUUGCAGUGGAUACUGGCGAGCUAGAGUGCGGUAGAGGAUGGUGGAAUUCCUGGUGUAGCGGUGAAAUGCGCAGAUAUCAGGAGGAACACCGGUGGCGAAGGCGGGUCUCUGGGCCGAAAUUGACGCUGGAGGAGCGAAAGCGUGGGGAGCAAACAGG
rnacentral:rRNA from 1 species